rnacentral:lncRNA from 1 species
UUUCUAGACUGUUGAGUGCUGUGAAGUCCGAGACAGUGGCCUUUCAAAGACAUGGGCAAGAAGCAGGGUGGGAGUGGGUAGGGAGAGGAAGCAGAGCCAGAGGAUAAAAACGACAGCCGUCGCCCUCUGGGCCGUUACCGCCCAUGCCAGCCGGUGCAGAGAAAUUCCAGCAUAUCUGCAGAUUCCUGCCAUUCUGUUCAGAGGCCAGGGAGGCCUCUUUGAGGAGUUCCUGUUGUGGUGCAGUGGAAAUGAACCCGACUAGUAUCCAUGAGGACGCAGGUUCGAUCCCUGGCCUCGCUCAGUGGGUCGGGCAGAACAAUUCAACCUUUCCAGGCCCAGUCCCAAAUCCUGCCCAACUUUGCACAGUCCAGCCUGGGAAGGCACAGACACAGAAAGGACCCGUCUUUGAACAGAACUGGCCUUCCUUCCAGGGCAGCCAGCUGACAUUGACCAUGGGCUCCCUCACAGAUCAAAGUGCUAUUUUCAGAACAACGGGGAAAGAAUGCCAAAUACACCCCUCCCAAAAAAAAAACCAUGGAAUUAAGGGAAUUUCUGUUUUACAAGCCACCCGAGUCCUGACUAAGUAAGCUCAGGGCCAGCACCUUGUCCCAGAAGAACAGCUCUGAUAGGGGCUUUCGCCUGUGACAGCAAACUUCUGGAGAACCGGUUUAGCCUGGGCUAUCUCCAGUCUCUGUUGACAUCACACCACAUAUCAGAGGGGACCUGGCCCUGACUCUGGCUCCAACGUGUCCUUCCAUGGUGACAUCUGAGUUUUGUCAAGACCCCACUACAUGGAAUCAUAGGAGGUGGGGGAGUUCCAGGGGGAGAAGCAGGUAAGUAAGGAGGGCGUCGUGGAAGAGGUGGCCCUGCUCAGAGGACGGACAGCAAGAACCCCUCAAGGCUGUAAUUAAGAAGACACAUAAUUGCAAGUGUUGGCAAGGAUGUGGAGAACUUGGCACCCUCAUACCCUGCUGGUGGGAAUAUAAAAUGGCACAGAAAACAGUCUGGCACAUCCUCAAAAAGUUAAGGAGUUCCCGUCGUGGCGUAGGGGUUAACAAAUCCGACUAGGAACCACGAGGUUGCGGGUUCAAUCCCUGGCCUCGCUCAGUGGGUUAAGGAUCCGGCGUUGCCGUGAGCUGUGGUGUGGGUCGCAGACGUGGCUCGGAUCCUCUGUUGCUGUGGCUCUGGCCUAGGCCGGUGGCUACAGCUCCGAUGAGACCCCUAGCCUGGGAAUCUCCAUAUGCCAUGGGUGCGGCCCUAGAAAAG